rnacentral:lncRNA from 1 species
GGGGGGGUAGCGGCUCCACACUGCUGUGAGCGGCCGGGAGGAUUCACCGCCGGGACGGGGCGCGACGGGGCCGCCUCCUUCCCACAAGGCCCCGCGCCGGCGGGGCGCUUCCCGCCGCGCCGCGCGCCUGCGCGGUGGGGACGUUGCGCGGAAGGGGCGCGGCGCAUGCGCGGAGAGCGCGGGUGAAGGCAAGGCAAGGGGAGGGCAGGGCUGGCUUGCGUACCACAUCUUGCUGUUCCGAGAGUGUGUAGGCUGAGGAGGACCUAAAACUAACCGGACUGCUGAGGAACAACGGGCUCUAGGAGGUGUUAAUCCACAGCCUGGACGGAUAUUGAGAGGAGCCAAGAGCUGACAAAGAGUGUUAUAAGUAAUAAAGUAUAUAAAACAGGGAGUAUACCUACUGUG